UAAAAGGAGCAACCAAAAAAGCCUGCUAGAUACAUCAUAAGGAAUAUUAUGCUAGGGCUUAUACCAGCCAUUAGUUCUGAUUACUGGGGAGCUUUUGAGGCGCAAAAUGGCCGUGAUGAUUGGAAUCGCUUUCAGAGUUUCUUGGCUUUGUUGCCUGCUAAUUGGCGGGAUAACCUGUUCUACAUCAAGUGAUGGGUAUCCUGCACCAGGUUCUGAUGCAGCAUGGCUCUAUACAGGCCCACUUAGGUCUAAAGGAUAUGGUAAUUACAACUCUCCAACAGCUCAAUUGCAAGCGCAGCUGACUGAAGAGCAACAAACAUCUGGGAGCCAUCCUGCAAAAGCAACUGGCCCCCAUGCCCCAGGCACCUCAGAAAAUGUGGUAUCCAACUCAAAUGCCCCAGCAGGAAAAGCAACCGGCCGCCAUGACCCAACAGGAGACGCUAUCGGCCUUUUAUCCUAAGCAGCUUCAAUCAAUGUUGUAUCCAGCUCAAAUGCCCCAGAAGCAACCAGUUACUGAACUUCAGCUUCAGAAGGAACAGGCCUCCAUACCCCAGCUACCUCAGCAAGUGUGGUAUCCAGUUCAAAUUCCUCAGCAGCAAAAGCAACCAGCUACUGGUCCUCAGCAGCAGACGGAACUGACCACCAUGUCCCAGAAGCAACCGGCUCCAAUGCCUAUACCGCAGAAACAACCAACAGCUAUGCCCCAGAAAGCAUGGUAUCCAGCUCAAAUGCAGCAGAAGCAACCGGCCACCAUGCACCAGCAAGUGUGGCAUCCAGCUCAAUUGCCCCAGCAGCAAAAGCAACCGGCUACUGAAGCUCAGCAGCAGAAGGAACCGGCCUCCAUAACCCAGCAACCUCAGCAAGUGUUGCAUUCAGCUCAAAUGCUGCUGAAGCAACUGACUGCCAUGCCCCAGCAAGUGUGGUAUCCGCCUAAGCCCCAGAAGCAACUGGCCGCUGAGCCUCAAGAGCAGAUUGAACUGACCGCCAUGCCCCAGCAACCAUGGUAUCCAGCUCAAAAGCCCCAGCUGCAGAAGCAACCGGCUACUGAACCUCAGCAGCAGAAGGAACCGGCCUCCAUAACCCAGCAACCUCAGCAAGUGUUGCAUCCAGCUCAAAUGCUGCUGAAGCAACUGACUGCCAUGCCCCAGCAAGUGUGGUAUCCAGCUAAGCCCCAGAAGCAACUGGCCGCUGAUCCUCAGGAGCAGAUUGAACUGACCGCCAUUACCCAGCAACCUCAGCAAGUGUGGUAUCCAGCUCAAAUGCCCCAGAACCAACGAACCACUGAACCCCAGCAGCAGAAGCAACCGGCUGCUGAACCUCAGAAGCAACCGGCUCCAAUGCCUAUACCGCAGAAACAACCAACAGCUACGCCCCAGAAAGCAUGGUAUCCAGCUCAAAUGCCCCAGAAGCAACCAUCCGCUGAACCUCAGUGGCAUCCAGCCAAAUUUCCCCAGGAGCAACCAGUUCCUAUGCAUCACCUGCAGAAGGAACUGACCGCCAUUCUACCACAACUAUGGCAAUCCGCUCAAAUUCCCCAGCAGCAUAAGCAACCGGCUGCCAAGCUUCAGCAAGUGUGGCAACUGGCCCCCAUUCCCCAGCAGCCUCAUGACGUGUGGUAUCCAGCUAAAAUGGUCCAGAAGCAACAAGCAGCUUCAACUCGGCGACAGAAGGAACUGACCACCAUGCCCCAAGAGUGGCAUCCAGCUCAAUUUCCCCAGCAGCAGGAGCAACCAGCCCUAAUGCUUUUACCGCAGAAGGAACUGACCGCCAUACACCAGCAACCUCAGCAAGUGUGGUAUCCAGCUCAAACGCCCCAGAACCAACCAACCACUGAACCCCAGCUGCUGAAGCAACCGGCUGCUGAACCUCAGCAGCAAAUUGAACCGACCGCCAUGCCCCAGCAACCAUGGUAUCCAGCUCAAAAGCCCCAGCUGCAGAAGCAACCGGCCGCUGAACCUCAGCAGAAAAUUGAACCGACCGCCAUGCCCCAGCUACCUCAAGAAGUGUGGCAUCCAGUGCACAUUCCCCAGCAGCAACAGGAACUGGCCACCAUACCCCAGCAAGAGUGGCAUCCAGCUCAAAUGCCCCAGCAGCAGAAACAACUGGCCACCAUGCUGCAGAAGCAACCAGCCCCAAUGCCUCAACUGCAGAAGCAACAGGCCACCAUGCCCCCGCAAGUAUGGCAUCCAGCUAAAAUGCCUCAGCAGCAAAAGCAACCAGCUACUGAACUUCAGCAGCAAAUUGAACCGACCGCCAUGCCCCAGCCACCUCAGCAACUGUGGCAUCCAGAUCAAUUUCUCCAGGAGCAGAAGCAACCGGCUGCCAUGCUUCAGCAAGUGUGGCAUCGGGCACAGAAGCAACCGGCCCCUAUGCCCCAGCAGCCUCACGACGUGUGGUAUCCAGCUAAAAUGGUCCAGAAGCAACAAGUCGCUGCACUGACCGCCAUGCCGCAGACACAUCAGCAAGUGUGGCAUCCAGCUGAAUUUCCCCAGCAGCAGAAGCAACCGGCCUCCACGCCUCUACCGCAGGAGCAACCGACCGCCGUACCCCAGCAAGUGUGCUAUCCAGCUCAAAUACCGCAGAAGCAACCGGCUGCCGAACCGCAGCAGAACGAACCGGCCACCAUACCCCAGCAAGUGAGGUAUCCAGCUCAAAUGCCCCAGCAGCGGAAGCAACACACUGCCAUGCCACAGCACCAACUGACCCCCAUGCCUCAGCAAUUAUGGCAUGUAGCUCAAAUGCCCCAGAAGCAACUGGCCCCAAUGUCUCAGCAGAAGCACUACGAAAGCACUGAAGAUGGUGCCUCUAGUAACACUCAGGCCAGCAUCGUUGAACAGUCGGGUGUCAUCCCAAUCUAUUCCUACAGUUCCAAAUCGCACUACGAGAAUGGCAGAACUGUCUUCUCCCAAACCCGCUACACUCCUAGGGAGGCUAUGCCUGUUGACAGUGGAAGUGCGCCCAAGGACAGUUUUGUUGGUACUGGUGCACCAAGCGUAUAUCCAUCACUAGUGAAGGAUUCUGCAAGGUAAUGGUUCACUUUAACCUGCUCUGAUCUUUGCUCUCUGAAUUUGAAGUCCUUUGUACUAACCAUAUUUAACAGGAAAAUGUAAUGGAUUCAUCCUCUAGAAGCUAAUGGAAGUUGCUGGUGCUCUUGCUACGCUAGAGUGAGGGAGUACAUGAACCAUUUUACUUUCAAAAAUGCCUUGUCUCUUUGAAAUAAUGGUUCUCGUGUCCAUUGCUUUCUAAUUGAGAACAGGUGGUGUUCAGUCUGUAGUAAAAAUGACUGUUCAGUUAAUUCUUUGUUUUCUAGUCUUUUACCUUUGCUACUGGUUGUUCAAAAUAAAAGCUUGGGUCUACAUAAGAGCAUUUGUCAAGGGGUGAGUUGUCAGACAUUCUUCAUAUGUUCAUACUUAGAUGUAGGCAUGCAUUGUAUACAAUGAGACUGUCUUCAACCUAGGUCUAAGUUGUUGGUCAGUAAGAUGACAUAGGGAAUGUUUUUUAUAUGGUCAGACCAUGGCUCAUUUAGCUACUUAAAUUGAGUGACCUUUUGGUUUCAAACUUGCAUUUGGCCUUAUACUAUAGCCCAUACCACAAAUGGCAAAGAGUCAAAUAAGUUUAGGAGUGUCUGUUCCAUAUCUAGCUGAUGGCUCAAAUGUUAUUUUUAGAUGCGUCAACCCCUGUUGGCACAUCUACCUCCAUACUUAUGUUUAUGGGUUACCUGUCUUACAAUUGUAGGGUCAUAGAGGGAAAUGUAACUGUUCGGGAGUCAAUUUCCCAUAAUUGUCAGUUUGUAGGCCAAACCGUUCUGAAGCUGGAGAUGUUUUUGAGACUGCGUUUUUGCAGUGUCUGACCAACACCACUGUAGCUCGGCCCCUGUCCACCGCAGAUGAGUAAGGGUGACAUGCGGAUGCAGUGGAUUGAGACGCAGCCCAAUCAAAAUGUUCUAGCUUCAACUGGAUUUUGAUGGGCCUUUUACUUUGACUGCCGCAAUACUCUUCACCUGUAGCCCAUUCCUCCUAGUCCAUUUCUUGUACCAUAGGCUCCUAUGGAAUGGAUUCGGUGUAUUUGAUUUUCACGAUGCCUGGAACAGUUUAACCGAUCAAUUAACAAAUAUAUUCUGUACAGACGGUCUUACAACAUACACAUUUUUCUUAACCAA